rnacentral:rRNA from 1 species
UACGUAGGGUCCAAGCGUUAAUCGGAAUUACUGGGCGUAAAGCGUGCGCAGGCGGUUUUGUAAGUCUGUCGUGAAAGCCCCGGGCUCAACCUGGGAAUUGCGAUGGAGACUGCAAGGCUUGAAUCUGGCAGAGGGGGUAGAAUUCCACGUGUAGCAGGUGAAAUGCGUAGAGAUGAUGGAGGAACACCGAUGGCGAAGGCGG